rnacentral:rRNA from 1 species
CCUACGGGAGGCAGCAGUCGGGAAUAUUGCGCAAUGGAGGAAACUCUGACGCAGUGACGCCGCGUGCAGGAAGAAGGUUUUCGGAUUGUAAACUGCUUUAGAUAGGGAAGAAAAACGACAGUAUCUGUCGACUAAGCUCCGGCUAACUACGUGCCAGCAGCCGCGGUAAUACGUAGGGAGCAAGCGUUAUCCGGAUUUAUUGGGUGUAAAGUGUGCGUAGACGGAGAAGCAAGUUAGUUGUGAAAUCCCUCGGCUUAACUGAGGAACUGCAACUAAAACUACGUGCCUUGAGUACGGGAGAGGAAAGUGGAAUUCCUGGUGUAGCAGUGAAAUGCGUAGAUAUUAGGAGGGACACCAGUGGCGAAGGCGAGUUGCUGGACAGUAACUGACGUUGAGGCACGAAGGUGUGGGGAGCGAACGGGAUUAGAUACCCCAGUAGUC